GGCCGAGUUGUAAUUUGCAGAGGAUGUCAUGGGAUUUGUGCAGACUCAAGUUCUUUGGAAAAAGACGCCAUGGAGAGUGACAGUCUCGUCCUGUCUACCACACUUCCCUCGUAUGACUCCUUCGAAGAGUCGAGUUGUUUGGGAAUGCAGCUCAAAGUGGGACGUAAAUUUGUUCCAAAGCUAAAUACCGGCUAGAGACCGAUAGCGCACAAGUAGAGUGAUCGAAAGAUGAAAAGCACUUUGAAAAGAGAGUUAAAAAGCACGUGAAAUUGUUGAAAGGGAAGCUUAUGUCAUCAGAAAUGACGGCAAUGUUCAGCCUUUUGGUGUAUUCAUUGCCUGUCAGGCUAGCAUCAAUUGGGGUGGCUGGAUAAAAGCUUCGGAAAUGUAGCUCCUCCGGGAGUGUUAUAGUCCGAUGCAGAAUGCAGCCAAUCCCGAUUGAGGACCGCUUUGAGGAUGCUGGCAUAAU
rnacentral:rRNA from 2 species